rnacentral:rRNA from 1 species
AUGAAGCUCCUAAGUUGGAACUGCCGGGGCCUAGGGCAGCCCCGGACAGUUCAAGAACUGGUGCAACUCGUGAGUGCACACCGCCCGUCUAUCGUUUUUAUUUCGGAAACUAGGCAAAAUAAAGAUAGGGUCAAUGGUCUUAAGUGGAGGCUUGGCCUCAAGAACUGCACACUGCAUGAUGGCAGAGGAAAGGGUGCCGGUAUCGCCUUGUACUGA